AGCUCAACCGGAUAGAGCAGCUGACUUCGGAUCAGCAGGUUGGGGGUUCGAAUCCCUCCAGGC
rnacentral:tRNA from 1 species